UAAUUAAUCAAAGAGCUGAAAGCUCUGAAGAAAAAUGACGCCACUGUCUCUAAUAUUGGGAUAGUUUUUAUGCAAGUCUUGAUUUUCACAUACCGUAAUUAGUUUAACAAUGCAACAUGUCUCGUAAGCAUAUAAUUGAUAUUCGUAUAUGUGUGUGUGUGAAGUGAAGGUGCCAACUGGCUGGGUUUUUUUUUAAGACAAAUGAAUAGGUCAAGACUACCUGAAUUGUACAAAUAAAUACCGUAGAAAGGCUUCUAUAUUUCUCACUGGUACAUAGGCUGAAUCCGGGUCCGUUCGCGCCCAUUCACGUUUGCACCAACUCAUGUUCGCCCCCUUUCACUUUCACACCCUACAUGUUCGCAACUAAUCUUAAUUGGUUUUGUGUUUAAUAACUCUGUAAGCAAGUGUUUUCUUAUAAGUAUAAUUGUUGUCAUUGUCUCAAAAUAAAGUGAGACAGCAUUUUUUUUUUUGUGUUGAAUAAAUCUUAAUCAUGUUUUGGAUAGCGUAUUGUUAAAGAUAAUAAUAAUCCUUUCUAAAUAAAGUGGUAUUUUGUCAACGUUUUAUUUAGCGUUGAAUAACUCUUAAUCAUGUUUUGGUUAGUGUAUUGCUAUACUUUGUUUCAUUGACCUCUUUCAUAAUGAAGUGAGAUUCUGACUAUUUUUUUUUCUGUGUGUUGAAUAAAUUUUAUCAUGUUUUGGUUAUAAUAGUGGAUUGCUAUAUUUUGGUUCCUAUAUUUUAUUGUUUCGUUGUUUCAGAUCAAAGGGCUUAAAAACAAUUAUCUUUUGUGUUUUUCCUUUAAAAUCUUCAAUGUUUUACUCAUACCAAGCUAAAAAUACAUUCAGUAUUUACACCAAAGCAAUUUAAAAACAACAAUCAUGAUUUUCCAAUUAUUCAACUUGAAUUUGAAUUAAAAUUGGGCGCGAAUGAGUAGAGUGCGAAUGGACCUUGGGUGUGAACGUGCGAGGUGCGAAAGUGUAUUGGGCGCAAACAGACCUGAUACCACAUAGUCUGAACCCCCUUCUCCACAAAAUAUGAUGUAAAUUAAAAAACAAAUUGUUCAGAGAAUAAUUGAAGUCUUUCCACUAGAAAAGAUCUAUUUUUAUAUUGAAAUAUGAAAAAUCAGUUUAAAAUGUUAGUUCCU
rnacentral:lncRNA from 1 species